GUGCUCGCUUUGGCAGCACAUGUACUAAAAUUGGAAUGAUACAGAGAAAAUUAGCAUGGACCCUGCGCAGGAUGACAUGCAAAUUUAUGAAGCAUUUAAUAAUAAU
ensembl:snRNA U6 U6 spliceosomal RNA